rnacentral:ncRNA from 2 species
UUUUCAUCUAGAGAGGUUGAGGGACUGGCCCAAUGAUAUCUCAGCAACCAUUAAAUAUUUUCAUAUUUAAUAAGGUGCUAAUUCCAGCAGAAGGAUUUCUGGCAGAUGAAAG